GUUCAUGGCUCAGGAUGAACGCUGGCGGCGUGCUUAACACAUGCAAGUCGAGCGAAGCACUUAAGUUUGAUUCUUCGGAUGAAGACUUUUGUGACUGAGCGGCGGACGGGUGAGUAACGCGUGGGUAACCUGCCUCAUACAGGGGGAUAACAGUUAGAAAUGGCUGCUAAUACCGCAUAAGACCACAGUACUGCAUGGUACAGUGGUAAAAACUCCGGUGGUAUGAGAUGGACCCGCGU
rnacentral:rRNA from 1 species